rnacentral:rRNA from 1 species
GACGAACGCUGGCGGCGUGCUUAACACAUGCAAGUCGAACGGAAAGGCCCUGCUUUUGUGGGGCUCUCGAUUGGCGCACGGGGGAGUAACACGUGAGUAACCUGCCCUUGUCUUUGUGAUAUCUUCUGGGAACUGCGGCGAAUAUCGCAUAGGAUCUCCUGCUGCAUGGUGGGCGUUGGAAAGAUUCGGUGGUUGGGGAUGGUCUCGCAGCUUAUCAGCUUGUUUGUGGGGUAGUGGCUUACCAAGGGUUUGACGGGUAGCCGGCCUGAGAGGGUGAACGGGCACCAUAGGACUGAGGUACGGACCAGUAUGCUAUGGGACGCAGUGGUGGGGAGUAUUGCACAGUGAGGCGGAGCCAGAGAUGACAACGCCGGGAGCGGGAAGCCGGCCUUCUGGUUGUAAACAGCUUUCGACGGUGAUGAACAGUGAGUGACGGUACUGGGUAAAGAAGCACCGGCUAACUACGUG